rnacentral:rRNA from 1 species
AACGAACGCUGGCGGCAGGCCUAACACAUGCAAGUCGAGCGAGGACUUCGGUCCUAGCGGCGGACGGGGGAGUAACGCGUGGGAACGUGCCCUUUGCUUCGGAAUAGCCCUGGGAAACUGGGAGUAAUACCGGAUGAGCCCUUUGGGGGAAAGAUUUAUCGGCGAAGGAUCGGCCCGCGUUGGAUUAGGUAGUUGGUGGGGUAAUGGCCUACCAAGCCGACGAUCCAUAGCUGGUUUGAGAGGAUGAUCAGCCACACUGGGACUGAGACACGGCCCAGACUCCUACGGGAGGCAGCAGUGGGGAAUCUUAGACAAUGGGGGAAACCCUGAUCUAGCCAUGCCGCGUGAGCGAUGAAGGCCUUAGGGUUGUAAAGCUCUUUCAGCUGGGAAGAUAAUGACGGUACCAGCAGAAGAAGCCCCGGCUAACUCCGUG